rnacentral:lncRNA from 1 species
GUUAUCUGAAGAACCUGCAUGGAGAGAUCAAGUACAAGUUAUAGUGAACAGAGGGUGUAGGUUCUGAGAGUCAUGACUGGCGUUUAUAUCUGUGGUGGAUAUGGCAUGGUCAGUCCCAGCCUGGACCCAUGCAGUGUUCUGUGUGGCCUGUCCGAGGACCACCAGACCCUUCGAGAAGGUGGCAACGGCCUGGGAGGGAGACAGGGAAGAUUCAGAGAGACCUCCCAUCUCAGUGUCUGGAAUAGGAACCAUCCUGCCACCUGCCCUGAAGAGACUGCAAAAUGGCCAGGAGGAGAUUGGGAGAAUUUAAUCCUUGCACCUCAAGAAGAAACAGUUCUACUUUUAAGUAGAAGAGGACACUAUACAAAAAGAAAAAAGGAAGACUGUUUCACAAUCGUGGAUGAGUAGCUGAUCACAGCUUUCAUAAAAUACACAUGCCAGCACUUCCGCACAAUUACCUUGAAGAACCAGUUUCUUGUUCCAAACAUUUCAACAGCAAAAGACCUACCUGUAGCCAGCCAUUUAGAAAGUGAAAUAUUGCCUAGAAAAUAAUUAAUGGAAUCAAUAAACAAUUACAAUUGGGGGUGAGGAAGUUCUUAGAUUUACUCGAUUUUUUUUCCUACAGAUUUAAAAGAAAAUAAAUUUCAAAAUACUGUAUAAAUUCCGAUGGAUACAAGCUACAUAUACAUAAGCAGGUAUUCUCUUAAUUUGUGUCAAAAUUAUCUCCUGACACCAUCAGACAUACCACCCCUUCUGGUAGUACCAUUCAGGAUCCAUAAGAUGGCAGGCCUAGAUUUCACAGUAGUAAUUAAAAGUGUAUAUACAUUGAUUUCUUUGAAAAAAAAAUACAUCAUAUUAUCAGCAGCAUGUGGCUGGUAACAAUAUUAGGGGCAUAUAUCAAAUUAAAUUUGUAAAUUAAAAAACAUAGCAAGUAUUACCAGGUUAAUGCAUGCUAUUAAUUCAUAUUGAAUCACAAAAUAUUGCCGGAAGAAAUUUAAGAUCAUCUACUUUAGUCCUGCCUAUUUCCAUGUAGAGAAACCAGAGUGCAGAUGUCAGAACUUUGCCCAAGAUCACAUGACAAAGCGAGUAGCAGAGAGAGGACCAGAAUCCUGGUCUCCUUCCUCCCAAUCUGUAUCAGUCCUAUUGUUCCCAAUAUUUCUUCAGCUCCUCACGGUGGCAUCAAAGUCCAAAUGACUGCUCUGCUGUCGAGCCCUAUCCUUGGAGUUUGCCACAGAUUGCUUUUUCCUUGUCAAAGGAGUCACUCAUGAGUCACCACUUGUCCUAUCUGGACUCCGCAUGGAAGCAUGGAAUUCCACAACUCUCUUCAUAAACCAGUUGUGUGCGUCUCAAACUGGGGUGUGAUGAUGUAUGGGGUACUUGAAGUCACAGAAUAAACAAGUACUAUCUCCUUCAUUGAUUUUGGUGGUGGGGAUGGGGCGCAACAUCUUUAUAAUUAGAACAUAAAAUGUGUAUGAAUGCCAAACAUGACAUGCAUAAAGGUUCAAAGCAAUGUAUAGCUUUGUGUAGGCUACAUCAGGACACUGUGCAGGCCUGCAGCAGUACAGCUCUUCAGUCCUCUGUGCUAUCAGGGACACUGUGGUGGAAAGCCUAGUAUCUCAUUAAGAGGCUCCCUCCUUCAGUACAUACCCUGGAGCGCACCUUGUCUUCCAUGAUGUAUAGAAUAAGCUCACCUUACACUUGUGUUCUGGAAAAAUCAACACACUGCUAUCCAAAUGCUAUGUGGAUAGUCCUAAGACACAUUUAACUUCUAUAUGUCAAGCAUUACAUUAUAAACAUCAAAAUAUUCACCAAGUAUCAACUAUUAUAUAUGAUAAAUAUGUAACAGAGGCCACUGCUGGGCAGAAUUCUUAUGGACAAAUCAAACACAGUGGAUGGAAUUAAUAAAAAUAAACCAACGUACUACUUUUAGUAAGCAUUAUGCUAUAGAGGAAUGUACAGAGAUCCAAGAAGCAGGAGAGCUGGAGGAUUUUUGAUCACUCAUCUAAUGUGUCUUGCUCUAUUUUCUCAUCUAUAGAAAGGAGAUUGGAUUGGGUUAGAAUGGGGGGAAAUUUCAAAUUCUAAAUUGUUUUUUGCUCACCCUCUGCUCUGGCAUUUCCUUGGGCAUACUUUUUUAAAUGAAAGUAACAUAAGAUAAUUAGCACCUAAGCAUUUUCCUGAGCAUUUUGACAGUGAUUAAUUCAGUUUCUCAGAACACACUCACCUCCUUGAAAAUUCUUGGUAUAUUGAUUGGCUAGAAAUCAGUAAAUUAGUUAAUGUCAUGAAAAACAAAGAAAGACUGGGAAACAAUUUCAGAUUAAAUGAGACUAGAGAAAGGACAUCUGAAUGCAAUACAAGAUCCAGGAUUUCAUUUUGCUAUGAAGAACGUUAUUGCCAUUAUUGACAACUGGCAAAAUUCAAAUGACCACUAUAGAACAGGCAAUAUUAGACAAUGGUGUUGUAUCCAUUUCCUGAUUUUGAUAAUUGUACUAUGGCUAUGUAAAAGAAUGACCUUGUUUCUGGAAUUACACACUGACACAUUUAGGGACAAAGGAGCAUCAUGUCUGCCGAGGGAGG